GAUGAACGCUGGCGGCGUGCCUAAUACAUGCAAGUCGAGCGAACGGACGAGAAGCUUGCUUCUCUGAUGUUAGCGGCGGACGGGUGAGUAACACGUGCAUAACCUACCUAUAAGACUGGGAUAACUUCGGGAAACCGGAGCUAAUACCGGAUAAUAUUUUGAACCGCAUGGUUCAAAAGUGAAAGACGGUCUUGCUGUCACUUAUAGAUGGAUCCGCGCUGCAUUAGCUAGUUGGUAAGGUAACGGCUUACCAAGGCAACGACGCAUAGCCGACCUGAGAGGGUGAUCGGCCACACUGGAACUGAGACACGGUCCAGACUCCUACGGGAGGCAGCAGUAGGGAAUCUUCCGCAAUGGGCGAAAGCCUGACGGAGCAACGCCGCGUGAGUGAUGAAGGUCUUCGGAUCGUAAAACUCUGUUAUUAGGGAAGAACAUAUGUGUAAGUAACUGUGCACAUCUUGACGGUACCUAAUCAGAAAGCCACGGCUAACUACGUG
rnacentral:rRNA from 1 species